GCAUCUUGGGGGUCGUUUUGAUUGGUUUGUUUCCGGUGGUUGGCUCUCUGCUUGCGCAACAACUUCCACCUGGCAUACCUCUUCAGUUACACAUCAAGGUUUUUUUGCCUUGGGUGCGUUGUGGUUUACUGUGUUGUAUACCUACGUGACGGUAUUGUUUGGAUUCAUCGAUUCCCAUUUCAUCUUUCGUCAUGCUUGUGGCGUGGGAUGAACCUUGAAACGAUCUCUUUGGUCUACCUUGUUGACGCGUAACGUUCAUGUUGUGGCCCAUUGAGCAUUGCUUGGUUUCAUGGAUACGGAACAUGAUGUGGGCAUGGGGUCUCAUAUGAUCCUUGUUUUGUCCAAGUUGAGCGUUAUUGUUUCUCUAAGAUGACUGUCAGCCCGAAUUGGCUCGUACCACCGGGUGGGAUAUGUUGUCGAAGAGAGAUGCUAGCGUUUUUGCUGCUCAAAAACGACCACCUAGCCUGUUGGCUUGUACCAGCGGGUAGGUGAUGUCGAAUAGGGAUGCUACCUGGUUGAUCCUGCCAGUAGUCAUAUGCUUGUCUCAA
rnacentral:misc_RNA from 1 species